AUGGCUGCCAUGCGUGUCGACCGCCAGAUCUUGGAGGAGCACCUCGUCUUCGAGGCCACCGUCGACACCGCCACACGGGAAACAAUGAGAGACACUGCGGUUUACCAUCGAGGUCCUGUUGUAAAAGGCUUAGACCCACUGUUCGACCCAUUUUGCAUAUGGGGAAAUGAGAUGUCCAUGAAUAUCAGCCAAGUUAAGAAACUCAGAAAGAUUGUUAGGAUGAAGAAACUUGCGACGAAUAAUAGCAAGAUCUUUGUUUGCAAAAUGAAGGUGACAUCAGUCAACUAUAGGAUGCUCACCGAUGAUCACCUCUCAAACCACCUGCAUGGUCAAGAAGCGAGGAAGGCUAAUUACCCUGCUUAUUUGGGGUUUUCUAUUGCAGACGGUUACUCAGACAGCACCAUGGGCUAUGAACUCAAACAACCAACAUGGUUUCUAGAAAGUAGAACACUUGGAUGGCGCUGA
rnacentral:rRNA from 1 species